rnacentral:rRNA from 1 species
AAACCUGAGAAACCCAAAAGAUCGAAUGGGGAGAUUCAUCGUCAGCGGCGUUGGCUUCCGUGUGGAUCGCGAUGGCCGGGACCUCGGUUCCGCGUCACGCGUCCGCUGCGGUAUGUCCGACGACGUCGGCGUGCACUUCUCCCCUAGUAGGACGUCGCGACCCGUUGGGUGCCGGCCUACGGCCCGGUUGGUAGACUGUCGCGUCGCGUUUACGCGUGUACACGUCAGACCACUGGUUGCCCGGCCGGCUGCCCGGCGGUAUAGAUCGCUAUAAAACGGUAUUGGGCCGCAUUAAGUGCGUUCAGGCUCGUCGGCAGGCUCGUCUCGCUCGGAUUUACGGACCUAGUGCCGUUGCCGGGCGCUUGGCGUGGCCGUUAGUCGACGAUGUCCUCGGACUGGCUCUUACAUUCGAACGGAUUUACCGGUCGGCGACGCUACUGCUUUGGGUACUUU